CUCAGCAGUUGUGGCUCACGGGCUCUAGAGCGCAGGCUCAGUAGUUGUGGCGCACGGGCUUAGUUGCUCGGCAGCAUGUGGGAUCUUCCCGGACCAGGGCUCGAACCCGUGUCCCCUGCAUUGGCAGGCGGAUUCUUAACCACUGCGUCACCAGGGAAAUCCCAAUGCUUUUAGUUAUUUUUUUCUGUAUGCGGGCCUGUCACUGUUGUGGCCUCUCCCGUUGCGGAGCACAGGCUCUGGACGCGCAGGCUCAGCGGCCAUGGCUCACGGGCCCAGCCGCUCCGCGGCAUGUGGGAUCUUCCCGGACCCGGGCACAAACCCGUAUCCCCUGCAUCGGCAGGCGGACUCUCAACCACGGCGCCACCAGGGAAGCCCUGCUUUUAGUUUUUUUAAGGAAGUGGGCUUAACCUGUUUUCCCUUCCCCAUCUACCUACUAAGUGUUCUGUUUCUAUCAGAAACAAGAAGUGUGCUUCAAGAUUGGAAACCGGCUCAGUUUUCUAGCUCUUAAAGCUUGUCUUCUAUUAUUUUUAAGAUUACAAGCACUCUGCCACUGCUGCUUAUCUAAGAUGACUUGGAGAAAGCAGCAAGUCUCUGUGCUCCUUUGACUUAAGUUGCUGUAUUAGUCAUUCUCCAGAGAAACAGACAAUAGGAUAGGAACUUCCGUGGUGGAGCAGUGGCUAAGACUCUGAGCUCCCGAUGAAGGGAGCCCAGGUUCGAUCCCUGGUUAGGGAACUAGAUUACCACAUGCAUGCCACAACUAAGGAGCCCGAGAGCUGCAACUAAAGAGCCUGCCUGCCACAACUAAGACCCAGUGCAACCAAAUAAAUAUUUAAAAAACAAACAACAGGAUAUACAGAUAUGGAUAUGAGGAGAUUUAUGAUAGGAAUUGGCUUACAUGAUAAUAGAGGCUGAGAAGUCUCACCAUCUGCCAUCUGCAAACAAGAGACUCAGGAAAGCUGGUGGUGUCAUUCAGUCCAAGUCCUAAGGCCUGAGAACCAGGGACACCAAUGUCCAAGGGCAGAAGAAGGUGGAUGUUUCAGCUCAAGCAAAGAGCAAAAUUGCCCUUUCUCCUUUUUGUUCUAUUCAGGCCCUCAACGUUUUAGAUGCCCACCUGAAAUGAUGAGUGUGAUCUUUACUCAGUCCACCGAUUCAAGUGCUAAUGAUCUCUUCCAGAAAUACUCUCACACACCCAGAAUUAAUGUUUUACCAGCUAUCAGGGCAUCACUUAGCACGUCAAGGUGAGGUAAAAUUAACCAUCACACUUACGUUGCUGCCUCUUUUCAACCAAAUUCUCAGAUGCAUCGAAAAGUCUAGUUCUGGGACUUCCCUGAUGGUCCAGUGGUUAAGACUCCACAAUCCCAAUGCCAGGGGCCUGGGUUUGAUCCCUUGUCAGGGAACUAGAUCCCGCAUGCCGCAACUAAAAAAAAAAGUCCUGCAUACCACAACGAAGAUCCUGCAAGCCGCAGCUAAGACCCAGCACAGCCAAAUAAAUAAAUAAAUAUAUAUUAAAAAAAGAGUCUAGUUCUUUGUAGGACAUGCAAGGGGAUGUCAUAGCUAGGACAUAGCGCUGUUCCUUGUCACUCCCCCCGCCCCCAUGACUUGAUAAGUACUCAUUCCUGUUUAGAAACACCUACGACUAUGUGACAGUGAUCUGAGAAAAGAGGGGAGUUGGCUUAUUUUCCAUGCAGGUACUUAGUUCUCUAUGGGGCAAACAUACACUUGUCUGAAUUCACGUAGAAACUGAGAUUGCAGCGGUAAGGGAAACAAACUCAUCUUCCAGCCUUGUGAUGCCUUUUGGGAGAGAGAUUGAACCACGUUCUGGUCCCUGCCUCCAGAGGAGUGGUAGGCAGGGUAAGUUUGGCAGAUACGUGAAUUUUAAAACAUUUAAACAUUUAGAGUUUCUGUUAAAAUCAGCUUCUCCUUUUUUCCCUCGAUUAGGGAUUCCCAACAAGAGUAUCUUACCAGACACCUCCCUUUGAGUCUGCGUAUAUAUUGAUUUGGGUUGGAUGUGUUAUAUUCUCUCAUCUGCCUCUUUAUUGCCUGUAUUUUCACACUGUCUCUACAAAGGGUCUUGGAAGGUUGGAAUCAGCUGUUUUGUUUUUUAACAUUUGUAUCAUUUAUUUAUUUAUUUACAUCUUUAUUGGAGUAUAAUUGCUUACAAUGGUGUGUUAGUUUCUCUUUAUAACAAAGUGAAUCAGUUAUACAUAUACAUAUGUUCCCAUAUCUCGUCCCUCUUGCGUCUCCCUCCCUCCCACCCUCCCUAUCCCACCCCUCCAGGCGGUCACUAAGCACCGAGCUGAUCUCCCUGUGCUAUGCGGCUGCUUCCCACUAGCUAUCUACCUUACGUUUGGGAGUGUAUAUAUGUCCGUGCCACUCUCUCGCUUUGUCACAGCUUACCCUUCCCCCUCCCCAUAUACUCAAGUCCAUUCUCUAGUAGGUCUGUGUCUUUAUUCCUGUCUUCCCCCUAGGUUCUUCAUGACAUUUUUUAAUAUGGUGAGUAUGACACCAAAAAUGACUUAACUCUUCUGGCUCUGGAUUUAGUUUGUUGGGAGGAGGAAGUGGAAUCCAGAACAAGGGAUGAAAAUACCUGGUUCGUUCUGGAUGAGAAUCGUUCGGACCAAGGGACCUGCCAGGUGAGGAGGAGACUGGGGGUUAACUCCCAGAGAGCCCCCUUCUCUCAGUGGGAAAACCCGACGUUUUCAUAGUUGAAACACUUUGAUACGGCUCUUGGUGUGACUGAAGAAACCUGAUUUUUCUUUAAAAAAAAUCUGUCCAUCAGUAUAGGAUGUGUUUUGAAGGUAAUGCUUAUUUUUGACGCUAAGGGUACGUAUGCAUGUUGCAUUUUAAGUUGGCAGAUGAGGUCAAAUGUAGGAUGGGAAGGUCAAGUAGCUACUUUACUAAGUGGCCUUUAUCACUCUGGGCAUAUUUCAACAGAAUAUUCUCACCUCCCUCUGGACAACUGAAGCCAGCCCCAGUGGAUGGGACGCUACUGCCCAGACUGUGUGUUUUUAGUAAUCUUAGUAAUUCAGGGUCAUUUGAAUGUAGCUGGCUAAUUUGAGGGGAAUGAAUGGGUGGGGUGUGAAGCAAGCCCAGCAGUGGACAUGUGAGGUCUGCUUUUGCCACAAGAGGGAGCCACGUGUUCACUUAGGGUGUGUCUUGUUUCAGGGAAGGUCUUGGGGUGUUUUUUUCCAGUUAUUUUGUUUCUCCAAAUUCUUAAGCAAAAAUGAACGUAAAAAUGCUGGCACUGGUUCAGUUCAUUGUGCUUUGUUAAGCUCAGCAAGAGUGAUAAGAUUGUAACUCUUUAAAUCAAUGCCCUUAGCUGGUGCUUUGAAACAAGAAGGUCCAUGUGCUAGAAACAUGAAUUUGGUGGUUUUGUGUUUAUUCGGGAGAGCGACUUUCAGUAUGAAACUGCGUUUUCACACUGUAUCAACAAGAGCAGUGGUGGGGCUUCCCUGGUGGCGCAGUGGUUAAAAAUCCGCCUGCCAAUACAGGGGACACGGGUUCGAGCCCUGGUCCGGAAGAUCCCACGUGCCGCGGGAGCAACUAAGCCCGUGCACCAUAACUACUGAGCCUGCGCUCUAGAGCCCUUGAGCCACGACUGCUGAGCCCACGUGCCACAACGACUGAAGCCCGCGCGCCUAGAGCCUGUGCUCCGCAACAAGAGAAGCCACUGCAUUGAGAAGCCCGCGCACCACGACAAAGAGUAGCCCCCGCUUACAACUAGAGAAAGCCCACACGCAGCAACGAAGACCCAACACAGCCAAAAAUAAAUAAUAAAUUAAUUAAUUUAAAAAACAAAACAAAAAACAAGAGCAGUGGUUUCGUCAGAGUAUCCGCUUCUGCCCAGAGUGGCUGAACCCACAGGCCACUUCAGAAGGCCCUGGGUCUGUGCUGAUCCAGCUUGGGCCACAGUGAGCUUGUCCUGAGCCCGAUGCAUGUGUGAGAGCCUCUUGGAGACCCUUAAAGGGAAAUCUGCUACACCAAUGAGUCGUUUUUUUUUCACUACAGAAAUCAUGACUUUAGAUUUCUUUGGUGGCUCGUAGUGAAAUAUUCCUAAAACGUCAGAAUCUGUUAAAAUAUUGGGAACGGCUAUCAUUCUGUAAUGUCAAUGAAUGAUUGCUCUUUCUGGGGCACUUUGGUAAAAGACCUACUGGAAUUUUUUAAAAUGAUAAAUUCUGAUAAUAGAGUAUAUAUAAAUAACUUACAAGCGAUUUAAUUUCUUGGAAAUGUUCUCAGUACCACUUAGGACUUAUUAAAAUAAAAGCAGUUUGAAUAAACUCCAGGCUUCCUCUUUGUGGGAUAUUUCCGUUUGGGUCUCUUGGGGAAAAAUCGCUCGGGUAUUGCUCCCUCUCUCCUGCUCGAUUCAGACACGCAAUACGCAAAGCUCCUCAGAGAGAUUUUGCAAGAUCCCAGAAUCUGGCCUGAGUUUCUCAUGAAACGCUUGUCUUUAUGUUAUAAGACUCCUAUCUUUAUGAACAUGGUUUAGCCCCACAUUUACUGUUCUCUUAAGUUGUGUUAGAAUGAGGAUGUUUUAUUAAAAGAGAAACUAACGAUAAUGUUCAAACUCCUAAGAAUAUUUCAACCACCAUCAGGCAGCAGACCAUUUGGAUAGCUAAUAACAUCCAUUCAUUGCCCUCCCACCCCUGCAGCGAGAAGAGGCAGCAGCUCUCCCAGUCAGAACGAUCUCUUACAUUUGAGUAGCCACGGAGGCCAGACGGCAUAGCUGGUAACCGGCAGAGACGUGAUUUAACAGUUGAAGAACACAGUUCGUUGUUCAUGCUGUUUUGUUUUGUUUUUUCCUUGUCACUUCCUUCCAAGAUAGUCAUUCAACAUUCAGCAAAUGCUGAUUGGACACCUACUGUAUACCAGGCAUCCUAGUAGGUGCUGGAGACAACGAGUGAGUGAAACCAAGCCCUUCAGAUUGGAGAGCCCAGCUCUUGGUUCCUCGUUACGUAAUGAAGUGAAAGGCUGGAGGUCUUACAUCAGAGAAUCCAAGUUUUGUCUGGAGAGGACGACGCUGUUCACUUUUCGGUGUUGAUGGGGGUCUUCAAGGAUGAACGUCAGACCUUCCACAUCAUACUUGAAUGUUCACUCACCUCAGGCUGCACCGGCCACACCAGCCUCAGACUUUUCCACCCGUGGUCAAAGACUAAAAAAAAAGAUCUUGAAUGGAUCUAAAGUUAUGGACAUUAUACCUGUCCUAUCCAAAUAGAGUAGAUGCUACUACCUGUGACUACUUAAAUUUUAAUUAAAAUCAAUAAAAUCUAAAAUUCAAUUCUUACAAUAGUUACCUUUCAAGGGCUCGACAGCUGUACGGGGCUAGUGGCCACUGCUUUGGGCAGUGCAGGAAAAGAACAUUUCCACCAUCACAGAAAGUUCUGUUGGAUAGCCCGUCACAGACAGACAUGUGACAGUUUUCCUUCUUCAGGAUCUUUAAUAUAAUAUGGCUUCUUGGGAUCCAGCCUGCUGUCCUUCCCUUCUGAGCUGCCAGCACUGACUCUGAUUUCUUGAGAUUCCCAUCUUCAGAUCAGACACAGUUUCCCCACGUCCUGGUCAUCCCCCCAAGCAUGAGUGCUUGUCGUCUUGAAGAUGUCACUGUAAUUACUGUGAAGAGAAAGGAGAACACAAGGUAGCAAGGAAGAGAAA